rnacentral:antisense_RNA from 1 species
CCGGAAGCCCGUUCAAACUGUAUAAGGGUGAUCAGCUAUCGCGGAGAAGGACUUACCAACUCGGGGCCAGUGGCGCAAUGGAUAACGCGUCUGACUACGGAUCAGAAGAUUCUAGAAGCCCAUGGAAACAAGGCGAUGACGGCGCUUGAGGGUGACCAGACCUCCUCAAUCAUUCCAUCAGCCACCCAGGACUCAACAGCAGAACCUCAGAGGACUCAGCUGAAAGAGGUUUUCACUCGAGCACUAACCACAGAGAAAUGGGAAGUGCCAUCCUGCUGUCAUACGCAGCCGAUGGCUGGGUAGGACUAAAUGCCCUUCUGUGGUGAGAUGAACCAAGACGGCAGAUGGGGGAAUAACAUCAGUGAGAGAGAGAUUACGAAUGGAUCCUUGUAUUGCAGAUCAAACUGGGUUGUCUCUUCUCAAACCACCCAGGCAGUUUCUGAAUGUCCCACGAUAGGGGUAGGAGAAAAGAAAAAAAAGACAAAACAGGAGACGGUGGGUAAGAAAACCUAAAAGGCACAAUGAGGCAAAGGCCUAAGAUGGAGGCUGGCUUUGGGAUCUGAAAUCCGGCCACAAUCCUUGUUUUACCUAAAGUCCAAGAAUUGUCAAAAAGAAAACCCAGAAGGGCUAGUCAUUCUAAAUUUUAAAAUCUUUUCUUCCUGGCCCACCAAGUCCUUGUGUUUUCUUUCUAGGCGCCCAUAAAUACAACCCCAUUACAGUUCUAUUUGGCUAAUAAUUUACAGAACAUUUAAAAUACCAGGUAGGUGAACGUCUCUUCAUGGCUUUUGUGUAAGGGCCUGAAGCGAAGAGAAAAACAACUGAUUGGAGAUUCCUAUCUGGCGCCUUCUCCAGGGAAACUGACAACCAGAGAAAUCUGUUGCUAGGAUUUCUAGGACAUCUGGAAAUUCCCUUUUUGUUCUUUCUCAACAAUAUAAAAUGGUAUAUUCGCAAA